GGCAGAAACAACAACAACAACAAAAAAAGACAUUUUCCAGUUUUUUUAAAUAAGGGUUAACAAAAGCAAAUAGAUUUCUUCUAGAUCAAUGCCACAGAAACUACUCUGCAUUACAUUAUUUUAUCCCUUAAUGGGUCUAUGGUUAGGAAGGCAUCCUAUAUAUUUCUUUGAAAGCACUGACUGAAAUAACCACAACUUAAUUUGCAAGUGAAUUACACACCUUUACUGUCCUAACUGUAAAACAAAUAAACAUAUCUUUCUUCAACAUGCAAUGUUGUUUUAUCUAACCUUGUAGAAUGUUCCAAUAUCCUCUAUACAUUUCUAAUGCAUGAAGAGACUUGUACUGACCUUGAAUAUACUUUGUAUACAGUAAUCACAUUCUCAUAUUCAUUUCAUCAUCAUUGUAGACAAGCUCAAUUUGAAAAAUCUUUUCUUCAAAGAUGAAAUCUAUUCCUUUAUUUAACGUGAAAAUCUCAUUCCUUUCCAUUUUCAGUAAAUUAAAAUAAUGGUAUUUGGAAGUAUUAGGUUAAACCAGUUUAUGCAAAGAACAUUUUUUUAGUGACUAUGAUGCUUCUACCAGAUCUCUUUUAGAAAAUUAAGUCUUGGCAUUCGGAGAGUCACGUAUCUCUCCAUUCUUCAUUUUAAUGCCACCCUUUGUUCAUUUAUUCUAUAACAAGCCCAACUCUACAUAUACGUUUUUUAAGUAUAUGUAGAAUUUCAAAACGUAGGCCAAAAUAGCCUAUGCAUAUAGUGUUACCAAGUAAGUAACCAAAGGACUUUGAUUUUCUUUUUUGCAGGGGUGAAUCGGGGUUGCGGUACUAAGAUUUUUUUCAGGGGAUCUUCCCUGGAGUUGUUUUUUUUAUUAUUGAUCAGCAAUACAAUCCGUUCUGAAACGGUUU